rnacentral:rRNA from 1 species
UACGUAGGGGGCGAGCGUUGUCCGGAUUCAUUGGGCGUAAAGCGCGCGUAGGCGGCUUCGUAAGUCGGCCGUGAAAUCUCCAGGCUUAACUUGGAGGGGUCGGGCGAGACUGCGGAGCUCGAGGUGGGCAGAGGGCAGUGGAAUUCCGGGUGUAGUGGUGAAAUGCGUAGAGAUCCGGAGGAACACCAGUGGCGAAGGCGGCUGCCUGGGCCUGGCCUGACGCUGAGGCGCGAAAGCGUGGGGAGCGAUCCGG